GGAUGUGAGGGAAGUCGUUACAAUGUGUACCACCCCCCUGAUCACUAGGGUUGAGCGGUGACCUAGCUGGCUACGUGGAUUGUGAAUGACCCCUUCUUUCCUCGGUGCUUCAUAUACACCUCAGGUAAAAACUGCUGUGCUCUGUAAGAGAGGACAUCCCUCCUGGAGAAAAGAAGGGCGAUCUUGGACCAAGAGUAACUGAGAAGCUGUUCUCUGCUGGAACUUCCAGGCAGGCUCUGAAGGAGCAAAGAUAAGAAUGUUACAAGUGAACAAAUAAAAGAAUCUU
ensembl:misc_RNA Gm25389 predicted gene, 25389